rnacentral:rRNA from 1 species
UACGUAGGGUGCAAGCGUUAAUCGGAAUUACUGGGCGUAAAGCGUGCGCAGGCGGUUUUGUAAGUCUGACGUGAAAUCCCCGGGCUCAACCUGGGAAUUGCGUUGGAGACUGCAAGGCUGGAGUCUGGCAGAGGGGGGUAGAAUUCCACGUGUAGCAGUGAAAUGCGUAGAGAUGUCGAGGAACACCGAUGGCGAAGGCAGCCCCCUGGGUCAAGACUGACGCUCAUGCACGAAAGCGUGGGGAGCAAACAGG